UCUCCGUAGGUGAACCUGCGGAGGGAUCAUUAGAGAUGUCCCUUAUGGGACUUGAUCAUAUACCAUACACACCGUGAACCGUGGGGGGCUUAUUAGAUUUCUGAUUUGAUAGGCCUCCAAAAGGGAGUCGAAAGACAACCUUACCUUUAAACAGAGUUAAUGAACGUACAAUACUAUAAAAAAGUAAUACAACUUUCAACAACGGAUCUCUUGGCUCUCGCAUCGAUGAAGAACGCAGC
rnacentral:misc_RNA from 1 species